rnacentral:rRNA from 1 species
UACGUAGGGUGCGAGCGUUAAUCGGAAUUACUGGGCGUAAAGCGCGUGUAGGCGGCAGGGCAAGUCGGAUGUGAAAGCCCACGGCUCAACCGUGGAAGUGCACCCGAAACUGCCCCGCUAGAGUCUCGGAGAGGAAGGUGGAAUGCUUGGUGUAGAGGUGAAAUUCGUAGAUAUCAAGCGGAACACCGGUGGCGAAGGCGGCCUUCUGGACGAUGACUGACGCUGAGACGCGAAAGCGUGGGGAGCAAACAGG